UGGGGGAUAUUGCACAAUGGGGGGGAACCCGUGAUGCAGCGACGCCGCGUGAGGGAAGACGGUUUUCGGAUUGUAAACCUCUGUCUUUAGGGACGAAACAAAUGACGGUACCUAAAGAGGAAGCCACGGCUAACUACGUGCC
rnacentral:rRNA from 1 species